rnacentral:rRNA from 1 species
GUGAACGCUGGCGGCGUGCCUAAUACAUGCAAGUCGCGCGAACGGACGAGAAGCUUGCUUUUCUGAUGUUAGCGGCGGACGGGUGAGUAACACGUGGAUAACCUACCUAUAAGACUGGGAUAACUUCGGGAAACCGGAGCUAAUACCGGAUAAUAUUUUGAACCGCAUGGUUCAAAAGUGAAAGACGGUCUUGCUGUCACUUAUAGAUGGAUCCGCGCUGCAUUAGCUAGUUGGUAAGGUAACGGCUUACCAAGGCAACGAUGCAUAGCCGACCUGAGAGGGUGAUCGGCCACACUGGAACUGAGACACGGUCCAGACUCCUACGGGAGGCAGCAGUAGGGAAUCUUCCGCAAUGGGCGAAAGCCUGACGGAGCAACGCCGCGUGAGUGAUGAAGGUCUUCGGAUCGUAAAACUCUGUUAUUAGGGAAGAACAUAUGUGUAAGUAACUGUGCACAUCUUGACGGUACCUAAUCAGAAAGCCACGGCUAACUACGUG